rnacentral:rRNA from 1 species
CUCGCCAUGCUGCCGUCGCACCUCAACGGCCACUCCCCGCUCGCGCGCCGCCGCCCCCACCUCCCCGCGGCCACCCCGCCCGCCGCCGCCGCCGGGGACCCCCCGGCGGCGGGCCCGGCGGGGGAUGCCGCGCUGGAGGCGCACGACCGCGUCUACUUCCAGUCCUACUCCCACAUCGGCAUCCACGAGUCCAUGAUCAAGGACAGGGUCAGGACCGACGCGUAUCGCGAAGCAAUCAUGCUCCACCAGAAGUUCAUCGAGGGGAAGGUUGUGAUGGACGUGGGGUGUGGGACUGGGAUACUCUCGGUGUUCUGUGCUCGUGCCGGCGCGAAACGGGUUUAUGCUGUGGAUGCUAGUGAAAUCGCUACCCAGGCUAGUGAAAUUGUAAAAGCGAACAAUUUAGCUGAUAAGAUCGUGGUCAUUCAUGGACGUGUUGAGGAUGUUGAUGUUGAGGAGAAGGUUGAUGUAAUAAUAUCAGAAUGGAUGGGUUAUAUGCUUCUCUACGAGAGUAUGCUGCCAAGCGUUCUAUUUGCAAGGGAUAAAUGGCUUAAGCCAGGGGGUCUUAUCCUGCCUUCUCAUGCUACGCUUUUCAUGGCGCCUAUAACAAAUUCUGAUAGAUAUGAAGGAAGCAUUGAUUUCUGGUGUGAUGUUUAUGGCAUAAACAUGUCUGCUCUUGUGCCACUUGCCAAAAAAUUCGCAUCCGAGGAGCCCUCCAUUGAAAUAAUUGGUGGAGAAAAUGUUAUAAGUUGGCCAUUUGUGGUGAAGCACAUUGAUUGCUACACUUUUACGGUUGAGGAAUUCAAGUCUAUCACCACAACGUACAAAGUUUCAUCAAUGAUGUUAGCUCCAAUUCACGGCUUUGGUCUCUGGUUUGAGGUGGAGUUCAAUGGGCCUGCAGAGUCUUGUAGCAAUUUGUCCUCUGAUUUGAGUCCACUUGAUAUUAUUCAGAAGAAAAGGCGAAGGGCAUCAGAUAGCACAGUCGUGCUGUCCACAGCCCCAGAAGACGAGCCAACCCAUUGGCACCAGACAAUUUUGUACUUCCCUGAUCCUAUAGGGGUAACGCAGGAUCAAAUCAUAGAAGGUUCUGUAACAAUCACCCCGAGCGAGGAGAAUCCACGCUGUCUGAAUAUUCACUUGGAGUGCUCCACGGGAGGUCAAAACUUGGUGAAGGAUUUUGCUAUGCGGUGAUGGGUGUGGUUCCUCAACCUCUCAGCUCAAUUGCGAGGUAAGUAGCCCGUGGGCCCAAGCCCUAAUCCACAUUCGCCACUGACCCGAACCUGGCCCAAGACCUGGCUGUACUCUCUACUCUAUUGGUUCAAAAAAAAAAAAAGCCACAUCAUUAAGGAGGCACAGGGCCAGGAUUUUUUGGUCGAAGCAAGUUGCAGCAGCCGUUCCGUACUUUUGUUAUUGUCUGGUGAUCACUUUUUCCUGUAACAGUAGACGAAGGCGGUAGUUUGCCUUGUUAUGCUAACUGGCUGCAACAUUUUUUGAGAUUUUGUUGAAUUACAAUUUUGCGUGAGCUGUUGACAUCAAUUUUGUCGUCUGACAGUCCUCAUUUGCGCGCUAGCUACCUGCACGCGCAGAACAGCUGUCAGCACAUGCUAUCAUGCUCCGAGGAAAUUUGUGGUCGGUUUACAAAUGUUUUUCUCGGUAUACACCAUGAAAAUCGAAUUCAAAGUAGUACCCCCUCCGUCCCAAAAUAAGUAUCUUAGCUUUGUACUAGCUCUAGUACAAAAUUAUAUUAAGUUUGAGACACUUAUUUUGGGACGGAGGGAGUAAUGGCGGUGCAAAUUGAGCAUGUUUUAAUGUAAUUGUGUACAUGCAUGGCCAAUUGUUGCCAAGUUAUUUUAUCCUCCGUGACCGAG